UAACGCGUGGAUAACCUGCCAUAUACCGGGGGAUAACACUUAGAAAUAGGUGCUAAUACCGCAUAAGCGCACGGCUCCGCAUGGGGCAGUGUGAAAAACUCCGGUGGUAUGGGAUGGAUCCGCGUCUGAUUAGCUGGUUGGUGAGGUAACGGCCCACCAAGGCGACGAUCAGUAGCCGACCUGAGAGGGUGGCCGGCCACAUUGGGACUGAGACACGGCCCAAACUCCUACGGGAGGCAGCAGUGGGGAAUAUUGCACAAUGGGGGAAACCCUGAUGCAGCAACGCCGCGUGAGUGAAGAAGUAUUUCGGUAUGUAAAGCUCUAUCAGCAGGGAAGAAGAAAGACGGUACCUGACUAAGAAGCCCCGGCUAACUACGUGCCAGCAGCCGCGGUAAUACGUAGGGGGCAAGCGUUAUCCGGAUUUACUGGGUGUAAAGGGCGUGUAGGCGGGAAUGCAAGUCUGAAGUGAAAGCCCGUGGCUCAACCGCGGAACUGCUUUGGAAACUGUAUAGCUUGAGUACUGGAGAGGCAGGCGGAAUUCCUAGUGUAGCGGUGAAAUGCGUAGAUAUUAGGAGGAACACCAGUGGCGAAGGCGGCCUGCUGGACAGAAACUGACGUUGAGGCUCGAAAGCGUGGGGAGCAAACAGGAUUAGAUACCCUGGUAGUCCACGCGGUAAACGAUGAAUGCUAGGUGU
rnacentral:rRNA from 1 species